AAGAAAAAUAUAGCGCCAGAACCUUAUCAGGUUGACGAGGAAGAGGUUAAUCGAAAAUUUCGGCGGAUGCCUCUCGGUGGCUUGUCAUCGACAGAUCGGUUCCAAAACCGAAAAGUAAUUUUUGGGACAAAAGCCGGUCAGCAAGAGAA
rnacentral:ncRNA from 2 species